rnacentral:rRNA from 1 species
AAGUCGUAACAAGGUCUCCGUUGGUGAACCAGCGGAGGGAUCAUUAAAGAGUUGCAAAACUCCCCUUAAACCAUCGCGAACGUUACCCACGACGCCGUUGCCUCGGCGGAGCGUCGCCCCGUGCCGUCAAGAGUACGGGGCGUGCGCCCGCCGGGAGACCGGCACAACCAAACUCUUAUAACCAUUGGCCUCUCUGAGUAAGAUUUUUAAAUAAGUCAAAACUUUCAACAACGGAUCUCUUGGUUCUGGCAUCGAUGAAGAACGCAGCGAAAUGCGAUAAGUAAUGUGAAUUGCAGAAUUCAGUGAAUCAUCGAAUCUUUGAACGCACAUUGCGCCCGCCAGUAUUCUGGCGGGCAUGCCUGUUCGAGCGUCAUUUCAACCAUCAAGCCCUGCUUGUGUUGGGGUCCUGCGGCUGCCCGCAGGCCCUGAAAACCAGUGGCGGGCUCGCUAGUCACACCGAGCGCAGUAGCACAUCUCGCUUUGGUCGUGCGGCGGGUUCUUGCCGUAAAACACCCCCCUUUUAUCAAGGUUGACCUCGGAUCAGGUAGGAAUACCCGCUGAACUUAAGCAUAUCAAUAAGCGGAGGAAAAGAAACCAACAGGGAUUGCCCUAGUAACGGCGAGUGAAGCGGCGACAGCUCAAAUUUGAAAUCUGGCUUCGGCCCGAGUUGUAAUUUGUAGAGGGAGCUUUUGGCGGGGCACCUACUGAGUCCCCUGGAACGGGGCGCCAUAGAGGGUGAGAGCCCCGUAUAGUAGGACGCCGAGCCUUUGUAAAGCCCCUUCGACGAGUCGAGUAGUUUGGGAAUGCUGCUCAAAAUGGGAGGUAAAUUUCUUCUAAAGCUAAAUAUUGGCCAGAGACCGAUAGCGCACAAGUAGAGUGAUCGAAAGAUGAAAAGCACUUUGAAAAGAGGGUUAAACAGCACGUGAAAUUGUUGAAAGGGAAGCGCUUGUGACCAGACUUGCGCCUGGCCGAUCAUCCGGUGUUCUCACCGGUGCACUCGGCCAGGCUCAGGCCAGCAUCGGUUCUCGCGGGGGGAUAAAGACCUGGGGAACGUAGCUCCUCCGGGAGUGUUAUAGCCCUGGGUGCAACGCCCUCGCGGGGACCGAGGUUCGCGCAUCUGCAAGGAUGCUGGCGUAAUGGUCAUCAGCGACC